rnacentral:tRNA from 1 species
GGCUCCGUAGCUCAGUUGGAUAGAGCAACAGCCUUCUAAGCUGUGGGUCAUGCGUUCGAGUCGCAUCGGAGUCA